rnacentral:lncRNA from 1 species
CGGCAGAAUGGAGUCCCGUUGCAGGAAAAUAAAUACUGGCUGAGAACGAGGUGUUAGGCCAUUAAAGAAAAGGUCUCGGUUGCAAAUGGAAUUUGAGUUGUGGUUAAUAAAACUGUAGAUAGCGUCAUCAUUUGAGGGGUGAUGGGAUCUCUUUUCCACCUUCGGACGCCUCUUUUGCAAAAGACGACAGAGUGACAAGGCCUUCCUCAUGUCUAUAUUUCUAACCCGAGGUAACCUCAGGUCCUCUUGCUGUCUUCUCUGGCACGGUGCGUUUUGUCAGAGGUCGCAAUAGUAGUGGAUUCUGGCGAGAUGAGGACAGAUUUCUACUCCCUACACCAGCAAACAUGCACACAGUUUGGAAUGGCCUUCAGUAUACAUGGCUGCUGUCUUGGCUUGCAUUGAUGUCUAAAUGCCGUUGGAGUCUACGUUCUUUUCCGUGGUGCUCAGAAAUUAUAUAUUUGCUCCAAC